rnacentral:rRNA from 1 species
UACGAGUGCCCCAAGCGUUAUCCGGAAUUACUGGGCGUAAAGCGUGCGUAGACGGUCGUGUUAGUCGCCUGUUAAAGCUCCCGGCUUAACCGGGAAAAUGCAAGCGAAACGGCACGACUUGAGGUAGUGAGGGGUCUGUGGAACUCAUGGUGUAGGGGUGAAAUCCGUUGAUAUCAUGGGGAACACCAAAAGCGAAGGCAACAGACUGGCACUAUACUGACGUUGGAGCACGAAAGCGUGGGGAUCAAACGGG